rnacentral:rRNA from 1 species
AGAGUUUGAUCCUGGCUCAGAAUGAACGCUGGCGGCGUGCUUAACACAUGCAAGUCGAACGAGAAAAAGACCUUCGGGUCUUGAGUAAAGUGGCAAACGGGUGAGUAACACGUGAGUAAUCUACCCCUUAUUUUAGAAUAACACGUUGAAAAACGUGCUAAUACUGAAUAAUACUCUAAACGGCAUCUUUUAGAAUCAAAGGUGGCCUCUGAUAUAAGCUAUCGAUGAGGGAUGAGCUCGCGCACCAUUAGCUAGUUGGCGGGGUAAAGGCCCACCAAGGUUAUGAUGGUUAGCCGGCCUGAGAGGGUGAUCGGCCACACUGGGACUGAGACACGGCCCAGACUCCUACGGGAGGCAGCAGUGGGGAAUAUUGCGCAAUGGGGGAAACCCUGACGCAGCAACGCCGCGUGGAUGAGGAAGGCCUUCGGGUUGUAAAAUCCUGUUAGGUGGGAAGAAAGCUAUAAUGGCUAAUACCCAUUGUAUUUGACGGUACCAUCGAAGAAAGCCCCGGCUAACUCCGUGCCAGCAGCCGCGGUAAUACGGAGGGGGCAAGCGUUAUUCGGAAUUACUGGGCGUAAAGGGCGCGUAGGCGGUUCUAUAAGUUAGAUGCUAAAUCCCUUGGCUUAACCAAGGUCUCGCAUUUAAUACUGUAGAACUAGAGUACAGUAGAGGAGAAUGGAAUUUCCAGUGUAGCGGUGAAAUGCGUAGAUAUUGGAAGGAACACCUGUGGCGAAGGCGAUUCUCUGGGCUGAUACUGACGCUGAGGCGCGAAAGCUAGGGUAGCAAACGGGAUUAGAUACCCCGGUAGUCCUAGCUGUAAACGAUGGACACUAGGUGUAAGAGGUAUCGAUUCCUCCUGUGCCGAAGUUAACACAUUAAGUGUCCCGCCUGGGGAGUACGUUCGCAAGAAUGAAACUCAAAGGAAUUGACGGGGGCCCGCACAAGCGGUGGAGCAUGUGGUUUAAUUCGAAGCAACGCGAAAAACCUUACCAGGGUUUGACAUAUACCUGACCGCAUUAGAGAUAAUGUUUUCUCUUCGGAGACAGGUAUACAGGUGCUGCAUGGCUGUCGUCAGCUCGUGUCGUGAGAUGUUGGGUUAAGUCCCGCAACGAGCGCAACCCUCACCCUUAGUUGCCAUCAGGUAAUGCUGGGCACUGUAAGGGAACUGCCGGUGAUAAACCGGAGGAAGGUGGGGAUGACGUCAAGUCCUCAUGGCCUUUAUAUCCUGGGCUACACACGUGCUACAAUGGUCGGUACAAAGGGUUGCCAAACCGUGAGGUCGAGCUAAUCCCAAAAAAAACCGAUCUCAGUUCGGAUUGGAGUCUGAAAUUCGACUCCAUGAAGGUGGAAUCGCUAGUAAUCGUGGAUCAGCAUGCCACGGUGAAUACGUUCCCGGGCCUUGUACACACCGCCCGUCACACCACGAAAGUUAAUUGUACCAGAAGUUGCUGAGCUAACCGCAAGGAGGCAGGUACCUAAGGUAUGAUUAGUGAUUGGGGUGAAGUCGUAACAAGGUA